rnacentral:rRNA from 1 species
UGCCAGCCGCCGCGGUAAUACGGAGGGUGCAAGCGUUAAUCGGAAUUACUGGGCGUAAAGCGCGCGUAGGUGGUCUGUUAAGUCGGAUGUGAAAGCCCCGGGCUCAACCUGGGAACUGCAUUCGAUACUGGCAGACUAGAGUGCGGGAGAGGGAGGUAGAAUUCCAUGUGUAGCGGUGAAAUGCGUAGAUAUGUGGAGGAAUACCAGUGGCGAGGGCAAUUUACUGGACAUUUACUGACGCUGAGGCUCGAAGGCUAGGGGAGCGAAAGGGAUUAGAUA